UACGUAGGGUGCAAGCGUUAAUCGGAAUUACUGGGCGUAAAGCGUGCGCAGGCGGUUUUUGUAAGUCUGUCGUGAAAUCCCCCGGGCUUAACCUGGGAACUGCAUUGGUGACUGCAUUGCUGGAGUAUGGCAGAGGGGGGGUGGAAUUCCACGUGUAGCAGUGAAAUGCGUAGAGAUGUGGAGGAACACCGAUGGCGAAGGCAGCCCCCCUGGGCCAAUACUGACGCCUCAUGCACGAAAGCGUGGGGAGCAAACAGG
rnacentral:rRNA from 1 species